rnacentral:rRNA from 1 species
CCUGGCUCAGGACGAACGCUGGCGGCGUGCCUAAUACAUGCAAGUCGAGCGGACAGAUGGGAGCUUGCUCCCUGAUGUUAGCGGCGGACGGGUGAGUAACACGUGGGUAACCUGCCUGUAAGACUGGGAUAACUCCGGGAAACCGGGGCUAAUACCGGAUGGUUGUUUGAACCGCAUGGUUCAAACAUAAAAGGUGGCUUCGGCUACCACUUACAGAUGGACCCGCGGCGCAUUAGCUAGUUGGUGAGGUAAUGGCUCACCAAGGCAACGAUGCGUAGCCGACCUGAGAGGGUGAUCGGCCACACUGGGACUGAGACACGGCCCAGACUCCUACGGGAGGCAGCAGUAGGGAUCUUCCGCAAUGGACGAAAGUCUGACGGAGCAACGCCGCGUGAGUGAUGAGGUUUUCGGAUCGUAAAGCUCUGUUG